CGUAACAAGGUUUCCGUAGGUGAACCUGUGGAAGGAUCAUUGUCGAACCUUCGAACAACCCGCGAACACGUUACAACUCUUCGAGGGGGGACGGAGUGCGGGCGUGAGCCCAUCGCUUCCAUCGACCCUCUCCCUGUUCGGGAGGCCCAGGAGCCCCGCCCAUCGUCGUGCCNAGUGCACGGGCGGGGAACGGCCCGCGGUGGCCCUCUUGAGCAAACAACAAACCCCUGCGCGAAACACGCCAAGGAACCUCAUAACGAAGCAACGCACUCCCGUUGCCCUAGUCCCGAUUGGGGAGUCGUCGUCUUUUCAUCAAACACAAAAGUCUCUCGGCAACGGAUAUCUAGGUUCUCGCAUCGAUGAAGAACGUAGCAAAAUGCGAUACUUGGAGUGAAUUACAGAAUCCCGUGAAUCAUCAAGUCUUUGAAUGUAAGUUGCACUCGAAGCCAUGAAGCUGAGGGCACACCUACCUGGGCGUCACGCACCCGUCGCCCCCCCACCUUCCUCUCCCCCGAGGCCCCGUGCUCGGGAAUGGGAGGCAAAGAGGGGGCGGACAUUGGCCUCUCGUGGGCACCCUAGUCUGUGGUUGGCCGAAAAUCGGUCUCACGGCGACGUACGCCAUGGCGAGCGGUGAUUCGUAUGGCUCUGCGUUNCGCGCGUCAUGUUGCCUUAGGGGCUCCCCACGAGACCCUCGAUCACGACCCCAGGUCAGGCGGGACCACCCGCUGAGUUUAAGCAUAUCAAUAA
rnacentral:rRNA from 1 species